UCCCUGGUGGUCCAGUGGUUAGGACUUGGCACUUUCACUGCCAUGAGCCCAGGUUCAAUCCCUGGUCGGGGAA
rfam:Ovis aries breed Texel chromosome 3, whole genome shotgun sequence.